rnacentral:lncRNA from 1 species
CGGUCCUUAAGAAUCUAGUAUUGGACUAGCCCAUGUCUAUAAGUUCUCACUAGCGUUGGACUAGCGAGAAAUCGAAAAAAUAGGCCACAACUAGCAUUGGACUAUUGUAGUAAUGUCAUGCAUUUAUUAUAACAUAAGAAAUCAUUCAAACAUAAUUAAAGCAAGUAAGCACGUAAGCACAUAAAGCACAUAGAACAUAAGCAUAAUAUAUAAAUGCAAAUCUCCUAAGAAAGCGAGUAAAACACGUAAACACAUAAGCAUGCAAGCACACAAGCAAAUAAAUACAUGAGAACCUAACUAUUACAUUUGGGACCCUAACUACAAUCUAAAGGGGAAAGUUAAAAAAAACCUAACUAUUACAUUUAUUUAACUAAUUACAUUUUUGGCAAAAUUGGAACCUAUCUAUUACAUAUUCUAACUAAAUACAUGUCUUGAGCACCUAGCUAUUACAAUUUGGCAUUUAAAUGCCUCUUAAAUAAUCACCAAAAUUAAAUAAAAUAAAUGAAAUUUAAAAUGAAUAAUAAUAAAUAAAAGAAAAACACUCAAAACAUGUAAUUGCACAUAAAAAAUGUUUGAGCACAUAAAAUGAUUUAAAAUAAUAAAAGAAGUUACCUUCCUUGAAGUGGUGGUUAAAUGGGUGAAAUUUGUUCUAUUUAUACUCCAAGAUCAACAAAAUGAUUAAGGCACCAAUUUAAUUAUAAAAAAUAAAAACAAUCAUGAAACUAUUAAUUAAAGCACUUAAAUGAAGUAUAAUUAACAAUUAAAGAAUAAAAGUAACUUGUAUUUAAGAAAUCAAAACUAUCAGGACCUAAAUGCAAAAAUUGAGAAAGUUUUGGGAUCAAAUUAUUAUUAUUGCAAAGAUUGAGGGUCAAAAUCAAAUAAAAAUAAAUUUUAGAGACCAAAUUGCAAUUAAAUUAGGAACCUGAUUGAAAUAACUCAAAAGUUUUAGUGCCAUAAUAUAAUUACUUAAAAUACAGGGACCAAAUUGCAAAUUCGUUUUCUGAUUUCUUGAGUAAACAUAGGCCUUUGGGCCAUCUUAUUAUUUCUUUGAGCCAGAACUCCCACUGGCUCAAUUGAAGUCCAAAGCAAAAGUACAGGCCAGUCCAACAUUUUUGACACAAAUAAAUUCAACAAAAGUAUGGGCUUUCACCUUCCAAACCCAUAUGAAACCCAAUCAAAUCAAAUCAAAACCCACUUCCAAAACCCAAUCAAACUAAACCAAGUCCAAACCCUAAACUAUUUUACCAAAACCCAACAAGAUAAUAAAUCAACUAAAAAUCAUUAACCCUAACUAUGUCCUAAAUCCCAGAAAUAAUCUACCCAAAAGACCACUUAAAAAAAUGAAAAAGAUGAUUAAAACUUAAAAGGGGCAAAAAUGAUUUAUUUGUAGAGGUUUUUAGGCAACAGUGGGAAUAUUUAAAAGUCCAGGGGUCAAAAUGAAAAUUUCAAAACUUUCCAUGCAUCUUGCCAGAAUCUUUCUUGCAGUUUUCUUCUACAUUCUUUCUACUGCAACCUUCUUCUCACGUAUACAUGACAUACUCAAAGCAAACAGGAGCCUAAUAAGAUCAUGCAAUUUAUGGACUUUAUUUCCAUCAUCCAACAUCAAAGAUUCACCAACACAACAAGAAAUAUUUGGCAAGAAAAUCAUCUAAAACCCAGCAUAGCAAAGGAAGGAGAAUGGCUCAUCAAACCAGCAACACAAAUUCGGUUGUUCAUGUACCAUGGGUUUAAAUCUUUGUAAGAAAAAGUGUUAAAUCAGCAAGGAAAUGAGUUAUAGUUACCUAAGGAUGAAUCCUAGACAAGAUGAGAGCCAAAGAAACGAUCAGAGACCUGUUUCCGAAGGAUUUUUCGCAGAUUUGCGGGUGCACCACUGAAGUCAACCUGCGGAUUUGGGAAGCGAAUUUAAGGGCCUUAUCGACACUUUUUUGUGAGAAAUUCUUGAACAAAAUCUUCUCUUCCAACUCCCUAGUCUACGAAGAAACCAAGAUCUAAUCAAACCAAGCUACCAGGGAAGAGAAAAUUGGGUCGCAAGAUGACCCAAAAACC